GAUGAACGCUGGCGGCGUGCCUAAUACAUGCAAGUCGAGCGAACGGACGAGAAGCUUGCUUCUCUGAUGUUAGCGGCGGACGGGUGAGUAACACGUGGAUAACCUACCUAUAAGACUGGGAUAACUUCGGGAAACCGGAGCUAAUACCGGAUAAUAUUUUGAACCGCAUGGUUCAAAAGUGAAAGACGGUCUUGCUGUCACUUAUAGAUGGAUCCGCGCUGCAUUAGCUAGUUGGUAAGGUAACGGCUUACCAAGGCAACGAUGCAUAGCCGACCUGAGAGGGUGAUCGGCCAACUGGGACCGGAGACACGUCCCAGACCCCUAGGGGGGGAAGCGGUAGGAAAUCUUCCGAAAGGGGGGAAGGCUGGACGGAGCAACGCGGCGUGAGGAAUGAGGGUCUGCGGUUCGAAAAACGUUGUUAUUGGGGAAGAACAUAUGUGUAAGUAACUGUGCAGUUCUGGACGGUACCAAAGAAGAAAGCCACGGCUAACUACGU
rnacentral:rRNA from 1 species